UACGUAGGGAGCAAGCGUUGUCCGGAAUCAUUGGGCGUAAAGCGCGCGUAGGUGGCUUCAUAAGUCCGUUGUGAAAGUCAAAGGCUCAACCUUUGAAAGCCGAUGGAUACUGUGAAGCUAGAGUACGGAAGAGGCGAGUGGAAUUCCUGGUGUAGCGGUGGAAUGCGCAGAUAUCAGGAGGAACACCGAUUGCGAAGGCAGCUCGCUGGAACGUUACUGACGCUGAGACGCGAAAGCGUGGGGAGCAAACAGG
rnacentral:rRNA from 1 species